rnacentral:rRNA from 1 species
AUUGAACGCUGGCGGCAUGCCUUACACAUGCAAGUCGAACGGUAACGGGCCUUCGGGUGCCGACGAGUGGCGAACGGGUGAGUAAUGUAUCGGAACGUACCUUUCAGUGGGGGAUAACGUAGCGAAAGUUACGUUAAUACCGCAUAUUCUGUGAGCAGGAAAGCAGGGGAUCGCAAGACCUUGCGCUGAUUGAGCGGCCGAUAUCAGAUUAGCUAGUUGGUGAGGUAAAGGCUCACCAAGGCGACGAUCUGUAGGGGGUCUGAGAGGAUGAUCCGCCACACUGGAACUGAGACACGGUCCAGAGUCCUACGGGAGGCAGCAGUGGGGAAUUUUGGACAAUGGGGGCAACCCUGAUCCAGCCAUGCCGCGUGAGUGAAGAAGGCCUUCGGGUUGUAAAGCUCUUUCGGCCGGGAAGAAAUCGUAUGGGUUAAUACCCUGUGCGGAUGACGGUACCGGCAUAAGAAGCACCGGCUAACUACGUGCCAGCAGCCGCCGUAAAAC